rnacentral:rRNA from 1 species
GACGUAGGGUGCGAGCGUUGUCCGGAUUUAUUGGGCGUAAAGAGCUCGUAGGCGGCUCGUCGCGUCGGCUGUGAAAACCCGCGGCUUAACUGUGGGCUUGCAGCUGAUACGGGCGGGCUAGAGUUCGGUAGGGGAGACUGGAAUUCCUGGUGUAGCGGUGAAAUGCGCAGAUAUCAGGAGGAACACCAAUGGCGAAAGCAGCUCUCUGGGACGGUACUGACGCUGAGACGCGAAAGCGUGGGGAGCGAACAGG